GUGUUAUUUGCUGCCUCAUUACUGUCAGAGUUCUUCCACUGUCAGUUCACGUUUCCAUUCAAUUUGUGACUUCAAAAGGACUUGAAAUGUAAAAAUACCGCCCAUGGAUUAUAUACACAAUAACUAUGUAUUGCCAUGUCAUUAAGCAAGCUUGAAACAUGGACAUUGCCCUAUAAUAGUUCGUGAUCUAACAGCAUCCAAGAUGCCUAAGUUGACAAUAGACCUGAUUGCCCGUGGUACAUCUGGCUAUACAAAGAAGAAGCGAGAUGAAUCAAUGCAGCAGUAUCUUCGACGAUUAACACAUCUUUACCUAGAGGACAAGUCUAUAGAUGAAGUGGGUGAGGACUUGGCAUUGUGCCGGAACCUGAUAGUCCUGUAUCUCUAUGACAACCAACUGAGUAAAGUGCCGGUUCUCCAUCACAACCAGAGCCUCACUCACUUAUAUCUACAGAACAACAACAUCUGCAAAAUAGAAAACCUUGGGCCCCUCAACCGACUUGUAAAACUCUACAUCGGUGGCAACAACAUCACGGUUGUGGAGGGGCUAGAGAAGCUGGACCAGCUGCAGGAGCUGCACGUAGAGAACCAGCAUCUGCCCCCAGGAGAGAAGCUGCUCUUUGACCCCAGGUCACUCAGAACUCUCGCUAACACUCUACAAGUGCUCAACAUAUCAGGCAAUAACCUGGACAGCGUUAAGGACCUGGAGGUGUUGAAGCGUCUCACACAGAUGAUGGCUAGUGACAACUUCCUCAAUGACAUGAAGGAGCUUGCUCAUAUUCUGGGACUGUGGCCCUUCCUGUGGAGGCUGGAGUUGAUGGGCAACCCAGUGUGUCACAAGGCCAAAUACAGGGACAGAAUUAUUGUCAUGUCAAAACAUUUAGAGAUGCUAGAUGGGAAGGAGAUCUCUGAAACAUCUCGUAAAUUUUUGUGCAACUGGCAUGCAAGCAAAGAAACACAGAAGAGAAAGCGAGAUGAACUCCUGCGGAAAGGAACGAUGAUGGCGGACAUGACUGAGAUUCAUACUGGUACAAACAAGGAUGAGGAUGUGGACAGUGCAAUAGGUGGUCACAAGGAUCUUCCUCCUGUGAAAGGACCACCAAAGAGUUCCAGUGUUCCUGGAUAUUUGAUGCCAGGGUUACCACGGAAACAGUUUGAUGAGUUGUUGGCUAAAAACAACAUGUCUGACAACACUGUCAACACCACUGUCAACAACCGUGCCAGUAAAACCCGCAGUGGUGUCCUUCGUGCCAAGUACACUGACGCGCAAGGUGUUGUCCACAUGAAGCCUGUGUCCUCUGCCCCAGUUCGUAGGCAUCCCUUCAUGAGUGUCAGCUUCGAAGUGACUGGUGGCCUCAGAAACCAGCACAUUCCUCAGCAGUUCCUUUAGAGAUGCCCGUUGUCCCACACAGAUUGCAGAAUGUUUGCCGAUUUGUGUGCCAUCUCACCAGUACGUUUUAUCUUGCACAACAGCUCCACAACGACUCAUAUUAUGAGAUACUAGUAAAGAUGACAUUGGACUGACCUUUUCAACCUUAGCUUAAUCAUUUACUCUUUCACUUCCAUGGUCAUCUUGUGUGGACUGACACAUUCACCGCUACCUAGACUAAUUUGUUAAGGGCGAUGCCAAUGCUGUCAAGUUGAUGAUUGACCUCGCCUGGAAGAGAGUCCAUUAUGUAUAAUAGGUGCCCUCAUCGAUGGUCACCUGAACGUAUCUGUGGAGCAGUGUUAAAUUGAGAGACAUUGUUGUCUCAUGAUUAAAAGUGCUACCUAACCAGAUUCAUUGUAUGCCAUUGAGAAUGAGACUUGUAUGGAUUUAUCAGAAUAAUAUUGCUAGAUUUAGAGAUAAUGUUGUUAUUUCACAUACUGUAUUUUUGUUUCAUUACUUUGCAAUGCAUAUGAAGAAAUUUUCUGAUGAAUCUUUGACAUGUGAUACAUUGUAAAUAUUAUACUGCUGUUGAUGUAUAUAUUUUGAAUUUAUUUAUUGUAUUUAAGUGUCUGUGGUGAUGAAUUAAUAUAAUACUGUUAUUGAAGUGAUGAUCAUACUGUUUGAUAUGGUGCUUACAAGUGAACUGUUAUGUAAUUAAUACAUGUAGAGAUCUUUUUCAGUCGAAUCUGGAUAAAAGCAAGUUCAACAGAGGUCAAGAUAAUUUUGUUAUUGCUAAUCUUUGUUAGUCAGCUGAACAACAGUUGCUUUUAAUCCAGGAUAAUUAUAAUUGUCCUUAUUCUACCUGAUGGAUCACCAUAUCCAACUUUUUUUUUAUCAACUUGUUUUUUUGUACAAAAAUAGACAUGUAAUAUUUUAGAAGAAGCCUUUCUUGUUAAGACUUCAAUUCUUUGUAUUAGUCACAUCAACUGACUGGAAGAGUUGUAUAUUAAAUUUCAAAAAAACAUAAUUUGGUUGGUAGGUUUCAUUUAAGUUUAACCAUACAGCUAUUGUUGGCUGUUAAUGUUAUCAUUCAAGUGAAGAACCAGGUUAGAAGUGGUUUUCUGCAAUCCAUGCUUGUUGUAAGAGACGACCAACAGGAUCGGGUGGACAUGUUCGCUGACUUGGUUGAUGCAUGCCAUCGUAUCCCAACUGCGUAGAUUGAUGUUCAUGAUGUCAACCACUGGAUUGUCUGGUCCAGGCUUGAUUAUUUACAGGCUGCUGACAUAUAGCUGGAAUGUUGCUGAGAGCUAAUAUUCUCCACAUUAUUAUUACAGGUGUGAAGUGAUACAAGUAUACUAGUUGUAAAACAAGAUGUAAGUUUCUCUAUUAAACCUUGAUGGUUGUUGUUAAAAUGCAGAGUUAAUUCUAUUCACUUAUGAAGAUCAGUGGAAUGAGUAACUGGACAUGAACAGACAUACAGCAAUGUAUAUAGACUAUUUUUUUAAAGAUAAUAUUACUAUGUAGUAUUUGAUGGUUGCCUUGAUGCUAUUGCAUGACUUGACCUUAGCAGUAUUACAGCUUCUUGAUGCACAGAGUUGGUUUUAGUGUGUUGAUAUCAUUAUCAACUAGGUUAGAGGUAUCAGUGAUAUUAAUCCAAGUGCAUUCCUUGAAAAGGUAAUAUACGUAGCUAGAAUAUGAUAAUCAUAGUAUGGAAACUAUGCUGGCCUGAAUGCUUUUCACACUUGUACUGAGAAUUUAAUAGCCUUCACGCUCAAUACAAAGUUCAGCUGAUGCGACCUCCUUUGGAGGUGAUCUCAGAUUUUUGUGCAGAGGGGUAUUGUAUCGGAGUAAAGAGCUCAUUGUGUACUUGGAGGUUUGGUUUUACCAAUAUGGGAACAUCUAUGGCCUGAGUCAAUUUAACUCUCCUCCGACUGUAAGCUUUGAUGUACUGUACUGAAAUACUGUCUGAUGACCACUCAUAAACCUAAUACAGGCAUGAACCACAAGACGUGUGGAGUGGUAUUUGAGUUUUGAAAUAUGUACUAUUGAGGAAAUUUGGAUGAGACAAUGUCCCAGGUGCUCAGCUAACAGUAUUGAACUUUCUAAUGUCUUGUGUGUUGACAUUGAGUUUAUCAUAUGGGUUAUCCACAGUGUAUGCUUAAUUGUGAUCCAAGGGAUCAUGUGAUGAAUUCUGUUUAGAAUGGUUUCACUACACAAGUUUGAUUUGUUGAUGUUGACCACACAUUACUGAGGACAUUGUCUUCAUGUGACAUGUUUGUGUCUUGUCUGUGUGCUGUAUUUAGUUUGAUUGUUUGUGUAUGUUAUACCUUGACAUUGUAGGGAGGAAAUAUGUUUGAGAGUCCAUUGUCAAUGAUGGAAAUGGAAUGGGGAUUGGAUGGCAUUGCCUAUUGUUAAAUUGGACAGUUAGAGGGAUAACUAUCUCAGAAGAGCAUCUGAGUUGGUUACCCAAAUGAUGCUCAUUUUAGCAUCUCCUCCCGAGUCAGCCGCUGGUUUGACUGUUCCAGGCCUGGGUCCUGUUCGACAGAGCGAUCUUAGCGCUAAUAUGAUCAGAACUGCCAUACUUUGACAGAGACAGAAGACAAUCGCUAGCGCUAGUACCUCUUUGUAAUCUGAUCUUGCUGGCUGAUGCAUCUAAUAUGUUGCUGAACAUGGCAAUGAACUUGCUUUCAAUUUCCUCAUUUUUCACACCUGAUUAACACAUCUCCAGCGCUUGCGGCAGAUAACUGCAUAAUUGCUGAUGCAUCGUAAAGCAAUAUUCACUCACUCAUUCAUCCCCAGAAAGGCAUUAAUUUACCUAAAUCAAAAUAUUUUAUGACAUUCAAAUAUGAUUAAUCAGAAAACACUUCUUUAUUGAUAGCAUUUACAUUGUUUCACGGGAAUAUAUGAACCUGUGUAGGCCCCUGGUAGCCUGUUAACUGAAAAGCCAUUUGAGGUGUUUUCAUCCAAAUGAAAUGUUUUCUAUUGAUGUAUGAAAAAAACAGGAAGCUUUGAAAAAGAAAUAUUUCUUGAUGAGGAUUCUGAUGGAGAAAUAUUUCUAUUAAUGAUACUUGAUUUAGCUGCUCACUUGAACUAGACUCCAUUAUUUACAGGCCAUGAUAUAGCUGCAAUAUUGCUGACUGUCAUGUUAAACAACAAACAAACAAACACUUUCUAAAAAUGUCUAAUGUGUUUGUAGACACCUGCAAUUUUUGCUCAUGUUUAGACUGAUUAUGUUGCUCUGUUAGUUUCAUAUACUGUACAUAGACACAUGUGUUGUACAGUCAUAUGAUCAGUUUGAGAGUUGAGGUUGCAUUUUGUGUUGCUUUGUAUGUCACCAUAAAAUAGUUUGAACAUGAA
rnacentral:misc_RNA from 1 species